UACGAAGGGAGCUAGCGUUGUUCGGAAUCACUGGGCGUAAAGCGCACGUAGGCGGAUGUGUCAGUCAGAGGUGAAAUCCCGGAGCUCAACUUCGGAACUGCCUUUGAUACAGCACGUCUUGAGUCCGAUAGAGGUGGGUGGAAUUCCUAGUGUAGAGGUGAAAUUCGUAGAUAUCGGGAGGAACACCGGUGGCGAAGGCGGCGACCUGGGUUGACAUUGACGCUGAGGCGCGAAAGCGUGGGGAGCAAACAGG
rnacentral:rRNA from 1 species